rnacentral:tRNA from 1 species
GGCCCCGUGGUCUAACGGUUAGGAUGCAGGCCUUUCAAGCCUGAGGCACGGGUUCAACUCCCGUCGGGGCUA